rnacentral:rRNA from 1 species
AAAGGAAUUGACGGGGACCCGCACAAGCGGUGGAGCAUGUGGUUUAAUUCGAAGCAACGCGAAGAACCUUACCAAAACUUGACAUCCCAUUGCCAGCUUCUUAAUCGAAGCCUCUUAAGUUUACUUAAGCAAUGGUGACAGGUGGUGCAUGGUUGUCGUCAGCUCGUGUCGUGAGAUGUUGGGUUAAGUCCCGCAACGAGCGCAACCCUUAUUUUUAGUAGCCAGCAAGUAAAGUUGGGGACUCUAGAGAGACUGCCAGGGAUAACCUGGAGGAAGGUGGGGACGACGUCAAAUCAUCAUGCCCCUUAUGUUUUGGGCUACACACGUGCUACAAUGGCUGCUACAAAGGGAGGCGAGUGGGUGACCAUAAGCAAACCUCAAAAAAGCAGUCCCAGUUCGGAUUGUAGUCUGCAACUCGACUACAUGAAGUUGGAAUCGCUAGUAAUCGCGAAUCAGAAUGUCGCGGUGAAUACGUUCCCGGGUCUUGUACACACCGCCCGU